UCCCUCUUAGCUCAGUGGUAGAGCGUGUCACUAGUAUAAUGAGCAAAGAUGAGUGAUGACGAGGUGAGUCGUUCAAGUCGGCUAGAGGGAA